GGCCCUAUCGUCUAGUCUGGUUAGGACAACGCCCUUUCACGGCGUAAACGCGGGUCCGAAUCCCGCUGGGGCUA
rnacentral:tRNA from 1 species